GGGGCCGACCUGGUUUCGACAGCGGCUUCGUAGUGGUUGCAAGCAUGCAGAGCGGCGAUGUACGGCUCUUCAAAACGAAUGUCACGCCCUAACCGGCGAAGUAGAAUACGCUCUCGCAGCUUAAUAGCCUCAGGCUAUUCGGCUUAAUCCACGUGAAGCACAGUAACGUGGACGAGUGCCCCUCGGGGAGGCCCGUCAUCCUCCUUCCCGGAUCAGGGGUAUCAUCAUGGAUGACUGGUCAGUGCGGUGGUCCGGAGCGCUGAUGAGACAACAGGACCUAAGUCUGCACUGGGGUGCCCUUCCCCAGGUGUGGAUCGAAAACCAAUGAAGAGGCUAAGCAUGUAGAAAACAUCCGUUGCGGUCGUUUGGACGAGGGUUCGAAUCCCUCCGGCUCCACAU
rnacentral:tmRNA from 1 species